AUUGAACGCUGGCGGAAUGCUUUACACAUGCAAGUCGAACGGCAGCACGGGGGCAACCCUGGUGGCGAGUGGCGAACGGGUGAGUAAUACAUCGGAACGUGCCCGGUCGUGGGGGAUAACGUAGCGAAAGUUACGCUAAUACCGCAUACGAUCUGAGGAUGAAAGCGGGGGACCUUCGGGCCUCGCGCGAUCGGCGCGCCCGAUGUCAGAUUAGGUAGUUGGUGGGGUAAAGGCCUACCAGGCCGACGAUCUGUAGCUGGUCUGAGAGGACGACCAGCCACACUGGGACUGAGACACGGCCCAGACUCCUACGGGAGGCAGCAGUGGGGAAUUUUGGACAAAGGGCGCAAGCCUGAUCCAGCCAUUCCGCGUGCAGGACGAAGGCCUUCGGGUUGUAAACUGCUUUUGUAUGGAACGAAAAGGCUCUGGCUAAUACCUGGGGCUCAUGACGGUACCGUAAGAAUAAGCACCGGCUAACUACGUG
rnacentral:rRNA from 1 species